rnacentral:lncRNA from 1 species
GAUGAGUAGGUGAGUUUAUUGGGACUUACACACAGGUCAAUCCUGGGCGGCGACAAGACAGCUCUAGAGAUCUGAGCUUCCUCCCAAUGCUAAACUGCUUUCAUGCUAAUUUUCUGACUGUUUACUUACCGGGUAAGAGCGAUGGGACUGUUUUCAUUGGUUGGUUCUCACAUACUCUCUGGGAAGUUUGGGUUCUCAGGGACACCUGCUCCUCAGCUGGGGACCAUGGCCAUGGCCCACCACCUGCCCUUCAGUGUUCAAGCAGGGGACAUGCACCCUUUAGUAACCUGGAGGGGACCCAUCACAUGACAACCACCCCAAUGACCAUCAUCAGGAAGCCGCUGCCUGACUGAGAUAUGCCCCCAGGAGGACAAGGGAGAGUGGAUGCUGGAAAGACAGGGCAGGGGACCAUCACCAGGGAAAGACUUCAUUCUUCGGAGGACAUUGAACCUGGGGCUGGGUCUGUAGUGGAGCCGCUGUUUCUUCUCCUGUAUCCAACUGUUCUAACUCUUGGGCUUUCUCCAUUUUCAGCUCUUUCUUUUCCUGGCCUUCUCAUUGCUGGUUCCUUCAAGCCUCCUCUCUAUUCUUCCGUCAAUAUAUUCUUUUUUUUUUUUUUUUUGAGAUGGAGUCUCGCUCUGUCACCCAGGCUGGAGUGCAGUGGCGAUAUCUCGGCUCACUGCAAGCUCCACCUCCCAGGUUCACGCCAUUCUCCUGCCUCAGCCGCCCAGUUAGCUGGAACUACAGGCGCCCGCCACCAUGCCCGGCUAAUUUUUUGUAUUUUUAGUAGAGACGGGGUUUCACUGUGUUAGCCAGGAUGGUCUCGAUCUCCUGACCUCGUGAUCCGCCCGCCUUGGCCUCCCAAAGUGCUCGGAUUACAGGCAUGAGCCACUACACCCGGCCCCCCAAUAUAUUCUUUAGUCUAAAGUAAACUGCUUCUUCCCAUUCCCCACACUCUCCAGUUCCCAUUUUUCCCUUAUUGCAGGCUCCAAUGUUCCUGCCUUCUCCUUGCUGCACUGCCAUCUGCAUUAACCCCUCCCCUGCUGUGCUCAGCUAUGGAAAUGCCAAAGUCCCUAACACUCAGUUCCAUAAACUUUACCUCACCCUCUUUAUCCCCCUAAUAAAAUGUUUGCAUUUGGGUCAAAAGCGAUGGCUCACGCCUGUAAUCCCAGCACUUUGGGAGGCCAAGGUGGGCAGAUCAAGAGGUCAGGAGAUCGAGACCAUCCUGGCCAACAUGGUGAAACCCCAUCUCUAUUAAAAAUACAAAAAUUAGCUGGGCAUGGUGCAAGGGAGGGGUUAAUGCAGAUGGCAAGUGCACCAAGGAGAAGGCAGGAACACUGGAGCCUGCAAUAAGGGA